ACAAACUAUAGUUUUUGCAAGUUGGUUAGGAUAUCUACUUUGUGGAUGACAUAAGUAAUUUUUCCAACAAUUGUUUACAGACAGAUUAUUUCACUCAUAAUUCACAGUAUCACAAUUCCAGUGGGUCAGAAGUUUACAUGCACUAAAUUGACUGUGCCUUUAAACAUCUUGGAAAAUUCCAGAAAAUGAUGUCAUGACUUUAGAAGCUUCUGAUAGGCUAAUUGACAUAAUUUGAGUCAAUUGGAGGUGUACCUGUGGAUGUAUUUCAAGGCCUACCUUCAAACUCAGUGCCUCUUCGCUUGACAUCAUGGGAAAGACCUCAGCAAAAAAAUUGUAGAACUCCACUAGUCUGGUUCAUCCUUGGGGGCAAUUUCCAAACGCCUGAAGGUACCACGUUCAUCUGUACAAACGAUAAUACGCAAGUAUAAACACCAUGGGACCACCAUGGGAACGCGCAGCCGUCAUACCGCGCAGCCGUCAUACCGCUCAGGAAGGAGACAGGUUCCGUCUCCUUGAACAUACUUUGGUGCGAAAAGUGCAAAUCAAUCCCAGAACAACAGCAAAGGACCCUGUGAAGAUGUUGGAGGAAACAGGUACAAAAGUAUCGAUAUCCACAGUAAAGCAAGUCCUAUAUCGACAUAACCUGAAAGGCCGCUCAGCAAGGAAGAAGCCACUGCUCCAAAACGCCAUAUAAAACCCAGACUACAGUUUGCAACUGCACAUGGGGACAAAGAUUGUACUUUUUGGAGUAAAAUCCUCUGGUCUGAUGAAACAAAAAUAGAACUGUUUGGCCAUAAUGACCAUCGUUAUGUUUGGGGAAAAAGGGGGAAGCUUGGAAGCCGAAGAACACUAUCCCAACCGUGAAGCACGGGGGUGGCAGCAUCAUGUUGUGGGGGUGCUUGCUGCAGAAGGGACUGGUGCACUUCACAAAAUAGAUGGCAUCAUGAGAUUGGAAAAUUAGGUGGAUAUAUUGAAACAACAUCUCAAAAAAGCUUGGUUGCAAAUGAGUCUUCCAAAUGGACAAUGACCCCAAGCAUACUUCCAAAGUUGUGACAAAAUGGAUUAAGGACAACAAAGUCAAGGUAUUGGAGUGGCCAUCACAAAGCCCUGACCUCAAUCCUAUAGAACAUUUGUGUGCAGAACUGAAAAAGUGUGUGAGAGCAAGGAGGCCUACAAACCCGACUCAGUUACACCAGCUCUGUCAGGAGGAAUGGGACAAAAUUCACCCAACUUAUUGUGGGAAGCUUGUGGAAGGCUACCCGAAACGUUUGAACCAAGUUAAAGAAUUUAAAGGCAAUGCUACCAAAUACUAAUUGAGUGUAUGUAAACUUCUGACCCACUGGGAAUGUGAUGAAAGAAAUAAAAGCUGAAAUAAAUAAUUCUCUCUACUAUUAUUCUGACAUUUCACAUUCUCAAAAUAAAGUGGUGAUCUUAACUGACCUAAAACAGGGAAUUUUUACUAGGAUUAAAUGUCAGGAUUUGUGAAAAACUGAGUUUAAAUGUAUUUGGCUAAGGUGUAUGUAAACUUCUGACUUCAACUGUAAAAACAAAACAACAAAAAAUACAGAGAUGCAGGACAUGAACAGAGUUAAAUGUGAUGUUUGGGAAGGGAACACGACAGUUGUUUAUUACAGUCAAUAUAGACUUACAGUCAUUGGAAAUUGUAAGUAAACAACAAUAGGGUUGUGUUAACGGGUUGAGUCAACAACUAAGAAUUCCUCCCCACAGUCUUCUGGGGAGGAAUGCUUGGUUGUUGAGUGAAAUCCAGUGUGCACAGUAGACCUCCAAGACCAGACUGGAAAACGCCUGCAAACAAACAUGAAACGAAUAAUGAACAAACGAUUACUGUAGCAGGGCCAAUAUAAGAGAACCAGAAAUGUAAAACAGACAAAAUAAUAAUAAAUGAAACCUUCCAACGUGACUGAAGUUAUACAAUGGGGUCCAUGGCUAGAUCAUUUAAAUUGCCAGAGAUGAAAGAGCAUAUCAGUUUGGUAUGAAGGUAAAACAUUUUUUUUUAAAUAAAAGUGACGACUAAAUAACUGAAAAACCUAAAUCAUUACAAAACAAACCUCUGAGGUGAGUAGCUUCCUACUCUGCCGUUUGGUCAUUUGGCGUUAAAUAGAACACUACAACAUAGCAGUGCAGUCUGUCUCCAAGGCCAUCUAACUAGAAAGAGAAUAAGCAGUGCAGUCUGUCUCCAAGGUCAUCUAACUAGAAAGAGAAUAAGCAGUGCAGUCCGUCUCCAAGGCCAUCUAACUAGAAAGAGAAUAAGCAGUGCAGUCCGUCUCCAAGGUCAUCUAACUAGAAAGAGAAUAAGCAGUGCAGUCCGUCUCCAAGGUCAUCUAACUAGAAAGAGAAUAAGCAGUGCAGUCCGUCUCCAAGGCCAUCUAACUAGAAAGAGAAUAAGCAGUGCAGUCUGUCUCCAAGGCCAUCUAACUAGAAAGAGAAUAAGCAGUGCAGUCUGUCUCCAAGGUCAUCUAACUAGAAAGAGAAUAAGCAGUGCAGUCUGUCUCCAAGGCCAUCUAACUAGAAAGAGAAUAAGCAGUGCAGUCUGUCUCCAAGGCCAAUCUAACUAGAAAGAGAAAAAUAAGCAGUGCAGUCCGUCUCCAAGGCCAUCUAACUAGAAAGAGAAUAAGCAGUGCAGUCUGUCUCCAAGGCCAUCUAACUAGAAAGAGAAUAAGCAGUGCAGUCUGUCUCCAAGGCCAUCUAACUAGAAAGAGAAAAAGCAGUGCAGUCUGUCUCCAAGGCCAUCUAACUAGAAAGAGAAUAAGCAGUGCAGUCUGUCUCCAAGGUCAUCUAACUAGAAAGAGAAUAAGCAGUGCAGUCUGUCUCCAAGGUCAUCUAACUAGAAAGAGAAUAAGCAGUGCAGUCUGUCUCCAAGGCCAUCUAACUAGAAAGAGAAUAAGCAGUGCAGUCUGUCUCCAAGGUCAUCUAACUAGAAAGAGAAUAAGCAGUGCAGUCUGUCUCCAAGGCCAUCUAACUAGAAAGAGAAUAAGCAGUGCAGUCUGUCUCCAAGGCCAUCUAACUAGAAAGAGAAUAAGCAGUGCAGUCUGUCUCCAAGGCCAUCUAACUAGAAAGAGAAUAAGCAGUGCAGUCCGUCUCCAAGGCCAUCUAACUAGAAAGAGAAUAAGCAGUGCAGUCUGUCUCCAAGGCCAUCUAACUAGAAAGAGAAUAAGGAAGUGAAAGAAAAACAGUUGUGGCAUUCUGGGGUUUAAAGUGGGAAAAAAAAUCCUUUCUAAAAUCGUUUUUCUGUGUGUCACACUGAACCACAAAACAUGAUUGUACAACCAUCUAAUGUGCCCACUUCAGGAAAAAAA